GACGAACGCUGGCGGCGUGCCUAAUACAUGCAAGUAGAACGCACAGUUUAUACCGUAGCUUGCUACACCAUAGACUGUGAGUUGCGAACGGGUGAGUAACGCGUAGGUAACCUGCCUGGUAGCGGGGGAUAACUAUUGGAAACGAUAGCUAAUACCGCAUAAUAUUGAUUAUUGCAUGAUAAUUGAUUGAAAGAUGCUAUUGCAUCACUACCAGAUGGACCUGCGUUGUAUUAGCUAGUAGGUGAGGUAACGGCUCACCUAGGCGACGAUACAUAGCCGACCUGAGAGGGUGAUCGGCCACACUGGGACUGAGACACGGCCCAGACUGCUACGGGAGGCAGCAGUAGGGAAUCUUCGGCAAUGGACGAAAGUCUGACCGAGCAACGCCGCGUGAGUGAAGAAGGUUUUCGGAUCGUAAAGCUCUGUUGUAAGAGAAGAACGGGUGUGAGAGUGGAAAGUUCACACUGUGACGGUAUCUUACCAGAAAGGGACGGCUAACUACGUG
rnacentral:rRNA from 1 species